AGAUUAAGUUAUUAAGGGCGCACGGUGGAUGCCUUGGCACUAGAAGCCGAUGAAGGACGUUACUAACGACGAUAUGCUUUGGGGAGCUGUAAGUAAGCUUUGAUCCAGAGAUUUCCGAAUGGGGAAACCCAGCAUGAGUUAUGUCAUGUUAUCGAUAUGUGAAUACAUAGCAUAUCAGAAGGCACACCCGGAGAACUGAAACAUCUUAGUACCCGGAGGAAGAGAAAGAAAAUUCGAUUCCCUUAGUAGCGGCGAGCGAAACGGGAAGAGCCCAAACCAACAAGCUUGCUUGUUGGGGUUGUAGGACACUCUAUACGGAGUUACAAAGGACGACAUUAGACGAAUCAUCUGGAAAGAUGAAUCAAAGAAGGUAAUAAUCCUGUAGUCGAAAAUGUUGUCUCUCUUGAGUGGAUCCUGAGUACGACGGAGCACGUGAAAUUCCGUCGGAAUCUGGGAGGACCAUCUCCUAAGGCUAAAUACUCUCUAGUGACCGAUAGUGAACCAGUACCGUGAGGGAAAGGUGAAAAGCACCCCGGAAGGGGAGUGAAAUAGAACCUGAAACCGUGUGCUUACAAGUAGUCANAGCNCGUUAAUGGGUGAUGGCGUGCCUUUUGUAGAAUGAACCGGCGAGUUACGAUUUGAUGCAAGGUUAAGCAGUAAAUGUGGAGCCGUAGCGAAAGCGAGUCUGAAUAGGGCGNUUUAGUAUUUGGUCGUAGACCCGAAACCAGGUGAUCUACCCUUGGUCAGGUUGAAGUUCAGGUAACACUGAAUGGAGGACCGAACCGACUUACGUUGAAAAGUGAGCGGAUGAACUGAGGGUAGCGGAGAAAUUCCAAUCGAACCUGGAGAUAGCUGGUUCUCUCCGAAAUAGCUUUAGGGCUAGCCUCAAGUGAUGAUUAUUGGAGGUAGAGCACUGUUUGGACGAGGGGCCCCUCUCGGGUUACCGAAUUCAGACAAACUCCGAAUGCCAAUUAAUUUAACUUGGGAGUCAGAACAUGGGUGAUAAGGUCCGUGUUCGAAAGGGAAACAGCCCAGACCACCAGCUAAGGUCCCAAAAUAUAUGUUAAGUGGAAAAGGAUGUGGCGUUGCCCAGACAACUAGGAUGUUGGCUUAGAAGCAGCCAUCAUUUAAAGAGUGCGUAAUAGCUCACUAGUCGAGUGACACUGCGCCGAAAAUGUACCGGGGCUAAACAUAUUACCGAAGCUGUGGAUUGUCCUUUGGACAAUGGUAGGAGAGCGUUCUAAGGGCGUUGAAGCAUGAUCGUAAGGACAUGUGGAGCGCUUAGAAGUGAGAAUGCCGGUGUGAGUAGCGAAAGACGGGUGAGAAUCCCGUCCACCGAUUGACUAAGGUUUCCAGAGGAAGGCUCGUCCGCUCUGGGUUAGUCGGGUCCUAAGCUGAGGCCGACAGGCGUAGGCGAUGGAUAACAGGUUGAUAUUCCUGUACCACCUAUAAUCGUUUUAAUCGAUGGGGGGACGCAGUAGGAUAGGCGAAGCGUGCGAUUGGAUUGCACGUCUAAGCAGUAAGGCUGAGUAUUAGGCAAAUCCGGUACUCAUUAAGGCUGAGCUGUGAUGGGGAGAAGACAUUGUGUCUUCGAGUCGUUGAUUUCACACUGCCGAGAAAAGCCUCUAGAUAGAAAAUAGGUGCCCGUACCGCAAACCGACACAGGUAGUCAAGAUGAGAAUUCUAAGGUGAGCGAGCGAACUCUCGUUAAGGAACUCGGCAAAAUGACCCCGUAACUUCGGGAGAAGGGGUGCUCUUUAGGGUUAACGCCCAGAAGAGCCGCAGUGAAUAGGCCCAAGCGACUGUUUAUCAAAAACACAGGUCUCUGCUAAACCGUAAGGUGAUGUAUAGGGGCUGACGCCUGCCCGGUGCUGGAAGGUUAAGAGGAGUGGUUAGCUUCUGCGAAGCUACGAAUCGAAGCCCCAGUAAACGGCGGCCGUAACUAUAACGGUCCUAAGGUAGCGAAAUUCCUUGUCGGGUAAGUUCCGACCCGCACGAAAGGCGUAACGAUUUGGGCACUGUCUCAACGAGAGACUCGGUGAAAUNNUAGUACCUGUGAAGAUGCAGGUUACCCGCGACAGGACGGAAAGACCCCNUGGAGCUUUACUGUAGNNUGAUAUUGANNNUNNGNACNNCNUGUACAGGAUAGGUAGGAGCCNNUGANACNNGANCGCUAGCUUACGNGGAGGCGCUGGUGGGAUACUACCCUAGCUGUGUUGGCNNUCUAACCCGCACCACUUAUCGUGGUGGGAGACAGUGUCAGGCGGGCAGUUUGACUGGGGCGGUCGCCUCCUAAAAGGUAACGGAGGCGCUCAAAGGUUCCCUCAGAAUGGUUGGAAAUCAUUCAUAGAGUGUAAAGGCAUAAGGGAGCUUGACUGCGAGACCUACAAGUCGAGCAGGGUCGAAAGACGGACUUAGUGAUCCGGUGGUUCCGCAUGGAAGGGCCAUCGCUCAACGGAUAAAAGCUACCCCGGGGAUAACAGGCUUAUCUCCCCCAAGAGUUCACAUCGACGGGGAGGUUUGGCACCUCGAUGUCGGCUCAUCGCAUCCUGGGGCUGUAGUCGGUCCCAAGGGUUGGGCUGUUCGCCCAUUAAAGCGGUACGCGAGCUGGGUUCAGAACGUCGUGAGACAGUUCGGUCCCUAUCCGUCGUGGGCGUAGGAAAUUUGAGAGGAGCUGUCCUUAGUACGAGAGGACCGGGAUGGACAUACCUCUGGUGUACCAGUUGUCGUGCCAACGGCAUAGCUGGGUAGCUAUGUGUGGACGGGAUAAGUGCUGAAAGCAUCUAAGCAUGAAGCCCCCCUCAAGAUGAGAUUUCCCAACUUCGGUUAUAAGAUCCCUCAAAGAUGAUGAGGUUAAUAGGUUCGAGGUGGAAGCAUGGUGACAUGUGGAGCUGACGAAUACUAAUCGAUCGAAGACUUAAUCAAAUU
rnacentral:rRNA from 1 species